GGGGAUAACACUUGGAAACAGGUGCUAAUACCGCAUAACCAUAGUUACCGCAUGGUAACUAUGUAAAAGGUGGCUAUGCUACCGCUUUUGGAUGGGCCCGCGGCGCAUUAGCUAGUUGGUGGGGUAAAGGCUUACCAAGGCAAUGAUGCGUAGCCGAACUGAGAGGUUGAUCGGCCACAUUGGGACUGAGACACGGCCCAAACUCCUACGGGAGGCAGCAGUAGGGAAUCUUCCACAAUGGGCGAAAGCCUGAUGGAGCAACGCCGCGUGGGUGAAGAAGGUCUUCGGAUCGUAAAACCCUGUUGUUAGAGAAGAAAGUGCGUGAGAGUAACUGUUCACGUUUCGACGGUAUCUAACCAGAAAGCCACGGCUAACUACGUGCCAGCAGCCGCGGUAAUACGUAGGUGGCAAGCGUUAUCCGGAUUUAUUGGGCGUAAAGGGAACGCAGGCGGUCUUUUAAGUCUGAUGUGAAAGCCUGCGGCUUAACCGGAGUAGUGCAUUGGAAACUGGGAGACUUGAGUGCAGAAGAGGAGAGUGGAACUCCAUGUGUAGCGGUGAAAUGCGUAGAUAUAUGGAAGAACACCAGUGGCGAAAGCGGCUCUCUGGUCUGUAACUGACGCUGAGGUUCGAAAGCGUGGGUAGCAAACAGGAUUAGAUACCCUGGUAGUCCACGCCGUAAACGAUGAA
rnacentral:rRNA from 1 species